rnacentral:rRNA from 2 species
UUAAGCGACUAAGCGUACACGGUGGAUGCCCUGGCAGUCAGAGGCGAUGAAGGACGUGCUAAUCUGCGAAAAGCGUCGGUAAGGUGAUAUGAACCGUUAUAGCCGGCGAUGUCCGAAUGGGGAAACCCAGUGCAAUUCGUUGCACUAUCGUUAACUGAAUACAUAGGUUAACGAGGCGAACCGGGGGAACUGAAACAUCUAAGUACCCCGAGGAAAAGAAAUCAACCGAGAUUCCCCCAGUAGCGGCGAGCGAACGGGGAGCAGCCCGGAGUCUGAAUCAGCUUGUGUGUUAGUGGAAGCGUCUGGAAAGUCGCAGGGUACAGGGUGAUACUCCCGUACACUAAAACGCACAGGCUGUGAACUCGAAGAGUAGGGCGGGACACGUGGUAUCCUGUCUGAAUAUGGGGGGACCAUCCUCCAAGGCUAAAUACUCCUGACUGACCGAUAGUGAACCAGUACCGUGAGGGAAAGGCGAAAAGAACCCCGGCGAGGGGAGUGAAAAAGAACCUGAAACCGUGUACGUACAAGCAGUAGGAGCCUCUUUAUGGGGUGACUGCGUACCUUUUGUAUAAUGGGUCAGCGACUUAUAUUCUGUAGCAAGGUUAACCGUAUAGGGGAGCCGCAGGGAAACCGAGUCUUAACUGGGCGUUAAGUUGCAGGGUAUAGACCCGAAACCCGGUGAUCUAGCCAUGGGCAGGUUGAAGGUUGGGUAACACUAACUGGAGGACCGAACCGACUAAUGUUGAAAAAUUAGCGGAUGACUUGUGGCUGGGGGUGAAAGGCCAAUCAAACCGGGAGAUAGCUGGUUCUCCCCGAAAGCUAUUUAGGUAGCGCCUCGUGAACUCAUCUUCGGGGGUAGAGCACUGUUUCGGCUAGGGGGUCAUCCCGACUUACCAACCCGAUGCAAACUACGAAUACCGAAGAAUGUUAUCACGGGAGACACACGGCGGGUGCUAACGUCCGUCGUGAAGAGGGAAACAACCCAGACCGCCAGCUAAGGUCCCAAAGUCAUGGUUAAGUGGGAAACGAUGUGGGAAGGCCCAGACAGCCAGGAUGUUGGCUUAGAAGCAGCCAUCAUUUAAAGAAAGCGUAAUAGCUCACUGGUCGAGUCGGCCUGCGCGGAAGAUGUAACGGGGCUAAACCAUGCACCGAAGCUGCGGCAGCGACACUAUGUGUUGUUGGGUAGGGGAGCGUUCUGUAAGCCGUUGAAGGUGGCCUGUGAGGGUUGCUGGAGGUAUCAGAAGUGCGAAUGCUGACAUAAGUAACGAUAAUGCGGGUGAAAAACCCGCACGCCGGAAGACCAAGGGUUCCUGUCCAACGUUAAUCGGGGCAGGGUGAGUCGACCCCUAAGGCGAGGCCGAAAGGCGUAGUCGAUGGGAAACAGGUUAAUAUUCCUGUACUCGGUGUUACUGCGAAGGGGGGACGGAGAAGGCUAUGUUGGCCGGGCGACGGUUGUCCCGGUUUAAGCAUGUAGGCGGAUGUUCCAGGUAAAUCCGGAACGUUACUAACGCUGAGGUGUGAUGACGAGGCACUACGGUGCUGAAGUGACAAAUGCCCUGCUUCCAGGAAAAGCCUCUAAGCAUCAGGUAACAUCAAAUCGUACCCCAAACCGACACAGGUGGUCAGGUAGAGAAUACCAAGGCGCUUGAGAGAACUCGGGUGAAGGAACUAGGCAAAAUGGUGCCGUAACUUCGGGAGAAGGCACGCUGAUAUGUAGGUGAAGUGGUUUACCCAUGGAGCUGAAAUCAGUCGAAGAUACCAGCUGGCUGCAACUGUUUAUUAAAAACACAGCACUGUGCAAACACGAAAGUGGACGUAUACGGUGUGACGCCUGCCCGGUGCCGGAAGGUUAAUUGAUGGGGUUAUCCGUAAGGAGAAGCUCUUGAUCGAAGCCCCGGUAAACGGCGGCCGUAACUAUAACGGUCCUAAGGUAGCGAAAUUCCUUGUCGGGUAAGUUCCGACCUGCACGAAUGGCGUAAUGAUGGCCAGGCUGUCUCCACCCGAGACUCAGUGAAAUUGAACUCGCUGUGAAGAUGCAGUGUACCCGCGGCAAGACGGAAAGACCCCGUGAACCUUUACUAUAGCUUGACACUGAACACUGGUCCUUGAUGUGUAGGAUAGGUGGGAGGCUUUGAAGUGUGGACGCCAGUCUGCAUGGAGCCAUCCUUGAAAUACCACCCUUUAAUGGCUGGUGUUCUAACGUGGGCCCGUUAUCCGGGUUGCGGACAGUGUCUGGUGGGUAGUUUGACUGGGGCGGUCUCCUCCUAAAGAGUAACGGAGGAGCACGAAGGUCAGCUAAUCCUGGUCGGACAUCAGGAGGUUAGUGCAAUGGCAUAAGCUGGCUUGACUGCGAGCGUGACGGCGCGAGCAGGUGCGAAAGCAGGUCAUAGUGAUCCGGUGGUUCUGAAUGGAAGGGCCAUCGCUCAACGGAUAAAAGGUACUCCGGGGAUAACAGGCUGAUACCGCCCAAGAGUUCAUAUCGACGGCGGUGUUUGGCACCUCGAUGUCGGCUCAUCACAUCCUGGGGCUGAAGUAGGUCCCAAGGGUAUGGCUGUUCGCCAUUUAAAGUGGUACGCGAGCUGGGUUUAGAACGUCGUGAGACAGUUCGGUCCCUAUCUGCCGUGGGCGCUGGAGAAUUGAGGGGGGCUGCUCCUAGUACGAGAGGACCGGAGUGGACGCAUCACUGGUGUUCGGGUUGUCAUGCCAAUGGCAUUGCCCGGUAGCUAAAUGCGGAAGAGAUAAGUGCUGAAAGCAUCUAAGCACGAAACUUGCCCCGAGAUGAGUUCUCCCUGACUCCUUGAGAGUCCUGAAGGAACGUUGAAGACGACGACGUUGAUAGGCCGGGUGUGUAAGCGCAGCGAUGCGUUGAGCUAACCGGUACUAAUGAACCGUGAGGCUUAACCUU